rnacentral:rRNA from 1 species
GGGGGAUAGCCCGGGGAAACCCGGAUUAAUACCGCAUAAGAUAGUUGAAUGGCAUCAUUUAAUUAUGAAACAUUUAUGGCUGAAAGAUGGGCAUGCGUUAGAUUAGCUAGUUGGUGAGGUAGAAGCUCACCAAGGCAAUGAUCUAUAGGGGUUCUGAGAGGAAGAUCCCCCACACUGGUACUGAGACAGGGACCAGACUCCUACGGGAGGCAGCAGUAGGGAAUAUUGGGCAAUGGAGGCAACUCUGACCCAGCCAUGCCGCGUGCAGGAAGAAGGCCUUCUGGGUUGUAAACUGCUUUUGGAAGGGAACAAAAAGACACUGCGGUGUAAAUUGAGUGUACCUUCAGAAUAAGCACCGGCUAACUCCGUGCCAGCAGCCGCGGUAAUACGGAGGGUGCAAGCGUUGUCCGGAUUUAUUGGGUUUAAAGGGUGCGUAGGCGGCUUAUUAAGUCAGGGGUGAAAGACUGCAGCUCAACUGUAGCAGUGCCUUUGAUACUGAUGAGCUUGAGU